rnacentral:rRNA from 1 species
CACCGCGGUCAUACAAGAAGCCCAAAUUAACCGUAACACGGCGUAAAGAGUGGUAUGCGCAUUAUCAUAACAUCUAAGAUCAAAAUAUAGCUGAGCCGUCAUAAGCCUAAGCUAUACUUAAAACCGCCAUUAAAAUGAUCUUAGUAAAUUCUUGAUAGACCAGAGCCACCAAAGCUAGGGCA